rnacentral:rRNA from 1 species
CAGUAGCCACGGUAAAACGUAGGGUGCAAGCGUUAAUCGGAAUUACUGGGCGUAAAGCGUGCGUAGGCGGCUAAUUGAGUCGGAUGUGAAAUCCCCGAGCUUAACUUGGGAAUUGCAUUCGAUACUGGUUAGCUAGAGUGUGGGAGAGGAUGGUAGAAUUCCAGGUGUAGCGGUGAAAUGCGUAGAGAUCUGGAGGAAUACCGAUGGCGAAGGCAGCCAUCUGGCCUAACACUGACGCUGAGGUACGAAAGCAUGGGGAGCAAACAGGAUUAGAUACCCCAGUAGUCCCUGUCUCUUAUAC